GAAGAUCUCAUCUGGUUCUAUCAGUUUAUCGAAGGAAAUCUCUUGUUCUUCAGUUAAUUUUGGUAGUUUGAUAUUAUUUAGAAAGUUAUUGAUGUCUUCUGUGUCCAGAACGAUUGUAAUAGAGUGAAUUGUAAUAGACUGAUAUAUAAUAUGGUAUUGCUGGUGAGAAAGAAUUCAAUCCGAGUGUGUGUGUGUGUGUGUGUGUGUGUGUGUGUGUGUGUGUGUGUGUGUGCGUGUGUGUGUGUGUGUGUGUAUGUGUGGUGAGCUGAGGAGUAAUAUGUGUGUUCCUUGGUGUUUGGGUGUUGUAGUCGCAAACAAUCGCCAAGUCCAGAGACAGACAUGUAUUGCCUUAUUGUUUGUGUGCUCUGCCAGUUCUGUGUAGUGUGUACUAACAGUUCUGUGUUUUAUGUGUACUAGUGGUUUUAUAUAAUUCUGGGUUGAUGACUGGGUUAAAGUCGCCAUCGAUUAUGAUGGGGAAUCCGGGACGUUUGUGAGAUGUGUGAAGAGGGCAGAAGAUCAAGGGGUUGUCUGUAUUUGGUCCAUAUAUGUUUGCUAUUGUUAUCAGGCUGUUGUUGAUAGAGAUGUUUAUGAUGUAUCUGCCUUCAGGGUCGGUGAUAGUGGCACUGCGUGUGAAUGAGAGUUUUUUUGUUUGUUAAAAUUGCUACACCUCUUUGUUUGGUAAAGCAGUGAGCAGCGAAAAUGUGGUUGAAUUGUGGGGUGUGUAAUUUGUAACUUGUGUUUCUUCGAGUAAGCAUAUAUCUGCGUUUAGUGUGGUCAGAUGCUGUAGUACUUUUUUAUUUCUGCCUGUCAGGAAUUUGAUCAAUGACAUGUUUUGGGAGAUCUCUUGUUGGGUUUAUCAGUGGUGUACUAUUGAUGCAUGGUCUAUGUGAGUAUUGCUGUGUGCGAUAGGUUACUUGUUGGUGUUAUUUUAUUGGGUUGUUUUGUAUGUGAGCAUGGUGGUGUAUAUCUGAAACACACUGGUCAAAUAAACAAAGAACCACAGUUCGCAACAGAGGAUAAAAGGUCAUGGCAUUGCUGAGGAGUGAGACGUCAGUGGAAUGAACUAAUGUAACACAGUCAAGCUUAUACCUGAGGUUUUUUUGUUCUGUGUUGUUUCAGGGACUGUGGGUGUUGUGUGUGUGUGUGUGUGUGUGUGUGUGUGUGUGUGUGUGUGUGUGUGUGUGUGUGUGCGUGUUUUGAGGUAGGGAUAACGGGGCAGAAGGGUUGCAGUGGACAGCAGAUCAGAGACCAUGACUGGCUAAAUAAUGACACAGCGACCCUGUGCUCCUGGGGUAGGUUUCCCCAUAACGAUGAAUCAUGUCAGAAGACGGCAACAGCGAUGUAAUAUUGUACAACCACAAUUCCAAAAAAGGACGCUGGGUAAAAAUGUCAAUAAAAACAAUGCAAUGAUUUGCAAAUCUCACAAACCCAUAUUUUAUUCACAAAUAGAAAACAUUUCAAAUGUUUAAACUGAGGAAAUGUACUGUUUUAAGAAAAAAAUAAGGUAAUUUUGAAUUUGAUGGCCACAAGACAUCUCAAAAAAGUUGGGACAGGGCAACAAAAGGCUGGAAAAGUAAGUGUUAUUAAAAAGAAACAGCUGGAGGUUAAUUGGGAACAGGACAGUAACAUGAUCGGGUGUUAAAAGAUUAUAUUAGAGAGGCGGAGUCUCUCAGAGGUAAAGAUGGGCAGAGGUUUAUAAAAUAGUUAACGAAUAUACAAAAUAAGUUUAGGAGCAGUGGUAGUUCUGUGUUGAAGACAUUGGAAGGUGAUGAGUUCAAAUACCAGCACUGCAAGCCUUACACUGCUGGGCCCUGGCAAGGCCCUCAAUUAUUCAGUUGUAUAAAAUGAAAUAAAUGUAAGUCACUCUGGAAAAGGGUCUCAAAUGCCAUAAAAGUAAAUGUAGACAACCAUUAAUCUAUUGGCUUUUUUAUUUUGUUUGGGUCCAGACUGGACAUCCUUGGUCCAGAAGUGACAUCCUUGGUCCAUAACUUUGUUCAUCUGAGUUUUAUAUUCGUUUACUGGAUGAACGUUUGUCUGUCAUGCUUCCUCCACACCCUCUGAGUAAGCAAUUUACUUAUCCUUACUGAGCUGGGGAAAUGAACAAGAUAAAAAAUAUCCUUCCUCUUUUGUGCUGCUCUCUAACUGUGCCUGUUCAAGACUGUUACCUGGGCCUCUCACCUACAGCAUCAUGGUCUU